UACGUAGGUGGCAAGCGUUGUCCGGAUUUAUUGGGCUUAAAGGGUGCGUAGGCGGCCCCAUAAGUCAGGGCUGAAAUACUCUAGCUCAACUAGAGGGGUGGCAUUGAUACUGCGGGGCUUGAGUGGAGUCGAGGUAGGCGGAAUUGACGGUGUAGCGGUGAAAUGCUUAGAUAUCGUCAAGAACACCGAUAGUGUAGACAGCUUACUAGGCUUCAACUGACGCUGAGGCACGAAAGUGUGGGGAGCAAACAGG
rnacentral:rRNA from 1 species